UACGUAGGGGCCGAGCGUUGUCCGGAGUUAUUGGGCGUAAAGCGCGCGCAGGCGGCUUGACGCGCCCGACGUGAAAGCCCCCGGCUUAACCGGGGAGGGUCGUCGGGGUACGGUCAGGCUUGAGGGCGGGAGAGGGUGGUGGAAUUCCCGGUGUAGUGGUGAAAUGCGUAGAGAUCGGGAGGAACACCUGUGGCGAAGGCGGCCACCUGGGCCGACCCGUGACGCUGAGGCGCGAAGGCGUGGGGAGCGAACGGG
rnacentral:rRNA from 1 species